GACCAGACUCCUACGGGAGGCAGCAGUGGGGGAUAUUGGACAAUGGGGGGAACCCUGAUCCAGCGACGCCGCGUGAGUGAAGAAGUAUUUCGGUAUGUAAAGCUCUGUCAGCAGGGAAGAAAGCAAUGACGGUACCUGACCAAGAAGCCCCGGCUAACUACGUGCCAGCAGCCGCGGUAAUACGUAGGGGGCAAGCGUUAUCCGGAAUUACUGGGUGUAAAGGGAGCGUAGACGGUGAAGUAAGUCUGGAGUGAAAGGCGGGGGCCCAACCCCCGGACUGCUCUGGAAACUAUUUGACUGGAGUGCAGGAGAGGUAAGCGGAAUUCCUAGUGUAGCGGUGAAAUGCGUAGAUAUUAGGAGGAACACCAGUGGCGAAGGCGGCUUGCUGGACGACGACUGACGUUGAGGCUCGAAAGCGUGGGGAGCAAACAGGAUUAGAUACCCUCGUAC
rnacentral:rRNA from 1 species